AAUAAAAGGCUAAAAAUGGACGAAAACGUAAGGUUAUAUAUAACCUUACGUUUUCGUCCAUUUUUAGCCUUUUAUUUU
rnacentral:miRNA from 1 species